ACGAAUUCAUCCAUGUUCAGCAAUGUCGAUAUUAUCAGUCACAUUCUUUCUGCCCAGUGAACAUCGAUAACCAAGGGUUUCGAACUUUUAAUGGCAACUGAGAGAAGAAAAAUGAAAUAUGUGAAAUUUUAUCAUAUCUGCAAUUGAACUAAUAGUUUAAACUGGUGUGGUGAAGGUAAGUUGUGGCAUGGAAUUCUGAUUUUUC
rnacentral:lncRNA from 1 species